rnacentral:rRNA from 1 species
ACGAACGCUGGCGGCGUGCUUAACACAUGCAAGUCGAACGGAAAGGCCUGCUUUCCCUUGUGGAUUGCGGGUACUCGAGUGGCGAACGGGUGAGUAACACGUGAGUGAUCUGCCCCCGACUUGGGUAUAAGCCUGGGACACUGGGUCUAAUUCCCCAUAGGACUCCAGGGUGGUGCCUGUGGUGGACAACGAUUUUCUAGUGGCUGGGGGUGAGCUGGCGGCGUAUCAGCUUGGUGGUGGGGUAAUGGCCUACCAGGGCGGCGGCCGGUAGCCGGCGUGAGAUGGUGGGCGGCAACAGUGGGACUGCGACACGGCGCAGACUACUACGCGAGGAAGCAGAGGGGAGGAAGGAGCGGGGGGUGGAAGCCUGAGGCAGCGACGCUGCGUGGGGGAUGACGGGUGUGGGGUUGUAACCUCCUGGUGGUCGAGAGGAAGCGCCUGGGUUGGAAGGGUGGUGACGGUAGUGGGAGAAGAAGCACCGGCUAACUACGUG